AGCUCUGCAGGAUGGCGGUGAGGUAGAGGAAGAGCUCCAUGCGUGCCAGCGACUCGCCCAGGCACAGUCGGCGACCUGCGUGGGGGGGAGGGUGCGGAGCAGCGUUGAGCAGGGUAAAGACCAAAGCCAAGAAAAGGAGAACUGCUCGCCUGCGCCACACAGUGGAGAUACUGACGGUGACCACUUCCAAGUUGAAUUAAUAUCCUGCCUCCCCACCUCCCUCCGCAAGGAUUUUUAUCUGCCUAUAGGAAGAGAGCUGGGAGGGAGAACAAAUGUCUCCGCACACCCAAAGUUGAGGAUGCGGUGGGAUGAAGAAACGAGAGGGUUUAAAGAGUGGAAUGAGGAAUGUAGGACUGGAAGAACCCCCACGCCGUCCCGCCCGAUCUCGGCGUCCUGACCUCUCCCCAGGGGCCGCUCAUGAUUUGGAAGUUGUCAUUGAUGAGGCGGAUAAUGGUGAGCAGACGCUCAUCGUCGUAGUCAAAGCGC